rnacentral:lncRNA from 1 species
UUCACCUCGGUGUUCUACUUGAAAGUCUACAUAUUUGCAACAUGAAUCAGGUAAAGAAAGAAAAAACGCGUAUCCGGUAAAGACGAAAACGAAAGUAGUAUAUGAAUUACGUCGUUUUUGACUGUAACGGACCGAGGACAUAUUACUGUUUCGAUUGCAAUAUAUCAUUCCGGCAUAGACAUUCAGUAUGGGGAAUAUAAUGGACAGUGUUACGGCGGAACGUGACCUCACAGUAGAGAUUACGAAAGAUAUACUUGACGAGCUCAAGGAAUUGAUAGAGACUGUAGAUCAUUCCCUAGCAGGGCUGGCGAAAUCUGUUGAUUCAAUGCAAGCCGCCUGUGAAAUGCUUCUCUCUCAGUAUGAAAGUGGCAAGCUGGACAGUUCGGGU